rnacentral:tRNA from 1 species
AGGUAUUUAGUUUAAUAAAAACAUUUGACUUCGGCUCAAAAGCCUAUGGUGAAACUCCAUAAAUACUUA